rnacentral:rRNA from 1 species
GACGAACGCUGGCGGCGUGCUUAACACAUGCAAGUCGAACGGAAAGGCCCUGCUUUUGUGGGGUGCUCGAGUGGCGAACGGGUGAGUAACACGUGAGUAACCUGCCCUUGACUUUGGGAUAACUUCAGGAAACUGGGGCUAAUACCGGAUAGGAGCUCCGGCUGCAUGGUGGGGGUUGGAAAGUUUCGGCGGUUGGGGAUGGACUCGCGGUUUAUCAUCUUGUUGGUGGGGUAGUGGCUUAACAAGGCUUUGACGGGUAGCCGGCCUGAGCGGGUGACCGGCCACUUUGAGUAUGAGACGCGGCACAGUCCCCUUCGGGACGAAGCAGGGGAGCAUAUUGCACCAUGGGCGGGAGUGUGAUGCAGCCCCGCCGCGUGUGAGGUGGCGGUGUUCGGGGUGUACCCCUUUUUCCUCUGACACGAAGCGUGUGUCGGUAUAGUGUGUAAAAACACCGGGUAACUCCGUG